rnacentral:lncRNA from 1 species
CUUCAGACCAGCUCAGUUUCCACUUGGAGCUCUCAGAAACAUGGCUCUCUUGCUUGGGUGUGUUAUUGUGGCGGCAGGUGUUGAGGUACUCCAACCACUUGUUUCUAUGAUUUCGCUCAUGCUUCUUGAGGUGUUCUGCCAUGUGGAAUACUUUGUAACACAUUGAGCAUGAGAAGGGCCUUUCAGUAGAAUGUGUGUACUUGUGGUGCUUCAGAUGAUCCGCCCGGCUGAAGCUUAGGCCACACUCCUCACAUUGGAACACAUUGCCAGCCUUUGUGUGAGUGUGAUAUCUAUGUCUCCGGAGAGAGUUACGGUCCUUGAACGUUGUCCCACAAGCCUUACAAAGAUAACUUCUCAACAUUGUGUGCAUUUUACCGAGGUGGGUCUUUAAGUCCUCCUGCCGCCCUAAUGUAUCUCCAUAACAAUGACUAAGGUGAGGUUUCUCAUUGGUGUGCAGCUUGGAGGCUUUUACGUUGCUCUCCCGAAUUCUCCUAGAGUCUUUGCGACCCUUUAAACAUUUUCCACAAAAAUUUAACGAAACAUGAUAUAUGAAACAGUCCCCACAAUCUUUGCAAAUAAAUUGUCUCGAUACAUCUUCCUCUGUCUCUCCUACAGUGUUUAAGUCUAUUUCAGUUGCCUCCAGAUCCCUUUGUGUCGGCAAGCCUUUCAAGGUGUCUUUAAUGAUACAUGUCCUGACAUUGCCUACUGCUUUUAGGGUUUUGCGGUAUUGGUCCGGGUGCAUUUCCCUGGCAUGAUUCUCAAACUCCAGUCCACUGGCAAGCUUUAGGACACAGAGUUGACAAUAGAAAAUAUCCCCCUGUUGGCUCAUCCUACUUGCCUCUAUGAAAGCCUUUACAUGCUUACGCAGGUGGAAGCACUUAUGCUUUUGGAAAAUAUCUGCCUUUUCAAAAUGACGGUCACAUUCACAGCACGUUAAAGAAAAUGUGUUUUUACGCAAGUCAUUUUCCCAAUGAUACAUUUUCUCAUGUUUGGUGCAAGCUUUAAGCUUGUUG